GACGAACGCUGGCGGCGUGCUUAACACAUGCAAGUCGAACGGAAAGGCCCUGCUUUUGUGGGGUGCUCGAGUGGCGAACGGGUGAGUAACACGUGAGUAACCUGCCCUUGACUUUGGGAUAACUUCAGGAAACUGGGGCUAAUACCGGAUAGGAGCUCCUGCUGCAUGGUGGGGGUUGGAAAGUUUCGGCGGUUGGGGAUGGACUCGCGGCUUAUCAGCUCGUUGGUGGGGUAGUGGCUUACCAAGGCUUUGACGGGUAGCCGGCCUGAGAGGGGGACCGGCCACAUUGGGACUGAGAGACGGCGCAGACGCCUACGGGAGGCAGCAGUGGGGAAUAUUGCACAAUGGGCGGAAGCCUGAUGCAGCAACGCCGCGUGCGGGAUGACGGCCUUCGGGUUGUAAACCGCUUUCGCCUGUGACGAAGCGUGAGUGACGGUAAUGGGUAAAGAAGCACCGGCUAACUACGUG
rnacentral:rRNA from 1 species